rnacentral:rRNA from 1 species
UACGUAGGGUGCAAGCGUUGUCCGGAAUUAUUGGGCGUAAAGAGCUCGUAGGCGGCUUGUCGCGUCGACUGUGAAAAACCCGUGGCUCAACCAUGCGGUCUGCAGUCGAUACGGGCAGGCUAGAAUUCGGUAGGGGAGACUGGAAUUCCUGGUGUAGCGGUGAAAUGCGCAGAUAUCAGGAGGAACACCGGUGGCGAAGGCGGGUCUCUGGGCCGAUAUUGACGCUGAGGAGCGAAAGCGUGGGGAGCGAACAGG